rnacentral:misc_RNA from 1 species
GCGAAUUGGAGUCAAUGCAGCAAAAGAUUGAGUCACAAAUGCGUUCGGGCACAGCUAAGGUUGUUGAAUACUGGGAAGCUAUCUUGAAGCGCCUCCAAAUAUACAAGGCAAAGGCUUGUUUGAGGGAAAUCCAUGCUAAUCUACUGAGGAAGCAUCUAAAACGACUAGAACAUCCUGUUGAGUCUGAACAGGAUUUGGAAAUUCAUAUUGACGUAAAGCCUAAAGAGGAAGACACGGUGCCUAG